rnacentral:rRNA from 1 species
AUGAACGCUAGCUACAGGCUUAACACAUGCAAGUCGAGGGGCAUCAGUUUGGUUUGCUUGCAAACCAAAGCUGGCGACCGGCGCACGGGUGAGUAACACGUAUCCAACCUGCCUCAUACUCGGGGAUAGCCUUUCGAAAGAAAGAUUAAUAUCCGAUAGCAUAUAUUUCCCGCAUGGGUUUUAUAUUAAAGAAAUUCGGUAUGAGAUGGGGAUGCGUUCCAUUAGUUUGUUGGCGGGGUAACGGCCCACCAAGACUACGAUGGAUAGGGGUUCUGAGAGGAAGGUCCCCCACAUUGGAACUGAGACACGGUCCAAACUCCUACGGGAGGCAGCAGUGAGGAAUAUUGGUCAAUGGACGCGAGUCUGAACCAGCCAAGUAGCGUGAAGGAUGACUGCCCUAUGGGUUGUAAACUUCUUUUAUAUGGGAAUAAAGUGGUCCACGUGUGGAUUUUUGUAUGUACCAUAUGAAUAAGGAUCGGCUAACUCCGUGCCAGCAGCCGCGGUAAUACGGAGGAUCCGAGCGUUAUCCGGAUUUAUUGGGUUUAAAGGGAGCGUAGGCGGAUUGUUAAGUCAGUUGUGAAAGUUUGCGGCUCAACCGUAAAAUUGCAGUUGAUACUGGCAGUCUUGAGUGCAGUAGAGGUGGGCGGAAUUCGUGGUGUAGCGGUGAAAUGCUUAGAUAUCACGAAGAACUCCGAUUGCGAAGGCAGCUCACUGGAGUGUAACUGACGCUGAUGCUCGAAAGUGUGGGUAUCAAACAGGAUUAGAUACCCUGGUAGUCCACACAGUAAACGAUGAAUACUCGCUGUUUGCGAUAUACAGUAAGCGGCCAAGCGAAAGCAUUAAGUAUUCCACCUGGGGAGUACGCCGGCAACGGUGAAACUCAAAGGAAUUGACGGGGGCCCGCACAAGCGGUGGAGUAUGUGGUUUAAUUCGACGCAACGCGAAGAACCUUACCAGGCCUUGACAUCCCUUGCAGAGGUAUAGAGAUAUAUCCGAGGUUAUCAAGGAGACAGGUGGUGCAUGGUUGUCGUCAGCUCGUGCCGUGAGGUGUCGGCUUAAGUGCCAUAACGAGCGCAACCCUUAUCUUCAGUUACUAACAGGUCAUGCUGAGGACUCUGGAGAGACUGCCGUCGUAAGAUGUGAGGAAGGUGGGGAUAACGUCAAAUCAGCACGGCCCUUACGUCCGGGGCUACACACGUGUUACAAUGGGGGGUACAGAAGGCCGCUACCUGGUGACAGGAUGCCAAUCCCAAAAACCUCUCUCAGUUCGGAUCGAAGUCUGCAACCCGACUUCGUGAAGCUGGAUUCGCUAGUAAUCGCGCAUCAGCCAUGGCGCGGUGAAUACGUUCCCGGGCCUUGUACACACCGCCCGUCAAGCCAUGAAAGCCGGGGGUACCUGAAGUACGUAACCGCAAGGAGCGUCCUAGGGUAAAACUGGUAAUUGGGGCU